rnacentral:tRNA from 1 species
UUAGCAGAAGCCAAAAAGAGGCAUAUUAUUGUUAAUAAUAAAAUUGAGAGAUCCUGUUAUU